CCCCGAUAGAGGCAAAUCCACUUGGGUCGGGAGGGAACAUCCAUCAGAACACCAGCCAAAGACCGGCCGAUAGAGUCCCUCCCAGGUGGAAGACGAAUGCAAAUCAGUCAGAGGAAAUUAAAUUGGCUGGACAACAGAGGAGAACCAUGGAGACGUACCGUGAAACAAGUAUGGGACUGGACUGGAGAGCUAGCCCUCACCGGGACUAAGCAACGGUCGCAGAAGGGACGGGCACCUUCAUUGGACCAGAACCAUGGUCAUUAAUGAACCAAACCCACAAGGUAAUAGCUGGGAUAGAGCCACUGCCCAGGACAGAGCUCAAUAUCCUCCCAUCACCAAGCUGGGAAACGUGGAUCAAAAGUUAGGACAAAUCGGACACUGGCGGUAAAUGUCCAAAGUACCAUGGUUCCGAGGGGCUCACAUCCCUCAAAAGUACCCAGUACUCAUUUUCUAUUCGGGCUGAUCAGUUUGACACCACCCCCGUCUCUCUAGGACAUGGAAGUCUUGUUGUCAAAAACCAGGUUUAUGAUUUCGCGCCGGUACCUGUCUGGUCGA
ensembl:lncRNA